UACGGAGGAUGCGAGCGUUAUCCGGAUUUAUUGGGUUUAAAGGGUGCGCAGGCGGGCUGUUAAGCCGGCGGUAAAAAUUCAGGGCUCAACCCCGGCCUGCCGUCGGGAACUGGGUGCCUUGAGUGGGCGAGAAGUAUGCGGAAUGCGUGGUGUAGCGGUGAAAUGCAUAGAUAUCACGCAGAACGCCGAUUGCGAAGGCAGCAUACCGGCGCCCAACUGACGCUGAGGCACGAAAGCGUGGGGAUCGAACAGG
rnacentral:rRNA from 1 species